rnacentral:rRNA from 1 species
UACGUAGGGUGCGAGCGUUAAUCGGAAUUACUGGGCGUAAAGCGUGCGCAGGCGGUUGCGUAAGACAGGUGUGAAAUCCCCGGGCUUAACCUGGGAACUGCGCUUGUGACUGCACAGCUAGAGUAUGGCAGAGGGGGGGUGGAAUUCCACGUGUAGCAGUGAAAUGCGUAGAGAUGUGGAGGAACACCGAUGGCGAAGGCAAUCCCCUGGACCUGUACUGACGCUCAUGCACGAAAGCGUGGGGAGCAAACAGG